AUCUUCGGAUCUAGUGGCGGACGGGUUAGUAACGCGUGGGAACGUACCCUUCACUACGGAAUAGUCCCGGGAAACUGGGUUUAAUACCGUAUACGCCCUUCGGGGGAAAGAAUUUCGGUGAGGGAUCGGCCCGCGUUAGAUUAGUUAGUUGGUGGGGUAAUGGCCUACCAAGACUACGAUCUAUAGCUGGUUUGAGAGGAUGAUCAGCAACACUGGGACUGAGACACGGCCCAGACUCCUACGGGAGGCAGCAGUGGGGAAUCUUAGACAAUGGGGGCAACCCUGAUCUAGCGAUGCCGCGUGAGUGAUGAAGGCCUUAGGGUCGUAAAGCUCUUUCGCCUGUGAUGAUAAUGACAGUAGCAGGUAAAGAAACCCCGGCUAACUCCGUGCCAGCAGCCGCGGUAAUACGGAGGGGGUUAGCGUUGUUCGGAAUUACUGGGCGUAAAGCGCACGUAGGCGGAUUAGUCAGUCAGAGGUGAAAUCCCAGGGCUCAACCCUGGAACUGCCUUUGAUACUGCUAGUCUUGAGUUCGAGAGAGGUAAGUGGAAUUCCGAGUGUAGAGGUGAAAUUCGUAGAUAUUCGGAGGAACACCAGUGGCGAAGGCGGCUUACUGGCUCGAUACUGACGCUGAGGUGCGAAAGUGUGGGGAGCAAACAGGAUUAGAUACCCCUGGUAGUCCACACCGUAAACGAUGAAUGCCAGUCGUCGGGUAGCAUGCUUAUUCCGGUGACACACCUAACGGAUUAAGCAUUCCGCCUGGGGGAGUACGGGUCGCAAGAUUAAAACUCCAAAGGAAUUUG
rnacentral:rRNA from 1 species